CUCCUUUCAAGUUGACCUGCCGAUUGGCUUAGAUCAAUAGUAUCUGUUCUUCUUAUGUUUGACCACUAAGACUUUUUUUAUGUUGAACCCAAUCUUUUGAACUAGCUUGGAGACUUCUGGGGCAGCGCCUUCUCGUCUCCUCGCACAGUGUCGCUUGUAUUGCACUACCGCAGGCAGACGCAAAAACUC
rnacentral:snRNA from 1 species